rnacentral:rRNA from 1 species
CCUACGGGAGACAGCAGUGAGGAAUAUUGGUCAAUGGACGCAAGUCUGAACCAGCCAUGCCGCGUGCAGGAAGACGGCUCUAUGAGUUGUAAACUGCUUUUGUACGAGGGUAAACGCAGAUACGCGUAUCUGUCUGAAAGUAUCGUACGAAUAAGGAUCGGCUAACUCCGUGCCCGCAGCCGCGGUAAUACGGAGGAUUCAAGCGUUAUCCGGAUUUAUUGGGUUUAAAGGGUGCGUAGGCGGUGGGGUAAGUGAGAGGUGAAAUCCCGAGGCUCAACUUCGGAAUUGCCUCUGAUACUGUUCGGCUAGAGAGUAGUUGCGGUAGGCGGAAUGUAUGGUGUAGCGGUGAAAUGCUUAGAGAUCAUACAGAACACCGAUUGCGAAGGCAGCUUACCAAGCUACUUCUGACGUUGAGGCACGAAAGCGUGGGGAGCAAACAGGAUUAGAUACCCCUGUAGUC